rnacentral:lncRNA from 1 species
AGAUUGCUGAGGAGACCUCGGAGUUCUUGGAGCAGCAACUCACCAGCGACAUCAUCAUGUCGGACAGCUACCUCCGUCCUGCCCCUUCACCAAGGCUGGAGUCAUGAUGGACAGACACUAGGAGGGAAUAAGGCUUGGGGCUGGUUUAUCAUCUCAAGGAUUGCUUUUCCAGCUGGCUGGGGUUUGGACUCGGGUCUCUGGACUUAGCUUUUGUGUGGUGUUUCCUGGGUCAGGACCAGAGUCAACGGGAUGGACAUGUGGCAAAAAGCCUUGGACUUGGCUGUGAUCUUUGACUAUUGGGGGAGGGAUCCUGGGUAUGGUGAGACGGUGAUGAGAGAAAAGGGUGACAAAGGUGAGGGAAAGCCUUUCUACCAGUGAACUCUUCGUGCCUCAGGAGACAGGGCAACUUCUGGGUAGGCAUUGGAGCAGCAGGCUAGGAGCAGUUAUUCUGGGGACCGUUGAGGUUUACUUCUUUCCAGUGUCAUAGUCCAGACUAAUAUUUAUACUGAGACAAGGUAAGAAAAUGGCCCACAUCUUCUCAUUUGCUAACUAGGUUAAAAAAAAAAAA